CCGAAAGGUGGUGAAUCCCUGAUCUCGGGAGAGAGAUCGCCACACGACAACAACAACAACACAGAAUCCAGCAAAGUUUCAAUUUUAAAAAAAAGUCUGUUUAAAAAUGGGCAAAAUGACAAGAAGGGCCAUUCUACCAUCAGCAUGCUCCAUUGUGAAGUUUGGAACUGAUGUGGAGAUUACUACUUCUUGAAAAACAGAAUUGAUACACCAGGAAAGGUCAGGUUUCACAUCACUAAGAUCCCUUAUCUCUCAGAAUAUCCUGAGAUGUGAAAUUCCUUGCUUUCAUGUUGCUGUGCAGAUUUCUAG